ACUCCUACGGGAGGCAGCAGUGAGGAAUAUUGCGCAAUGGGCGAAAGCCUGACGCAGCGACGCCGCGUGGAGGAUGACGGUCUUCGGAUUGUAAACUCCUGUUAAGUGGGAAGAAAGCCCAAUCUCUAACAUAGAUUGGUUAUGACGGUACCACUAGAGAAAGCACCGGCUAACUUCGUGCCAGCAGCCGCGGUAAUACGAGGGGUGCAAACGUUAUUCGGAUUUACUGGUGUAAAGGGUGUGUAGACGGCUUAUCAAGUUCGUUGUUAAAUCUUCCGGCCUAACCGGAAGCUUGCGAUGAAAACUGAUAGGCUAGAGGGUGAGAGAGAGAAGUGGAAUUCUCGGAGUAGCGGUAAAAUGCGUAGAUCUCGAGAGGAACACCGAUGGCGAAAGCAGCUUCUUGGCUCACUCCUGACGUUGAAACACGAAAGCGUGGGGAGCAAACAGGAUUAGAUACCCUGGUAGGCUCUG
rnacentral:rRNA from 1 species